AUGCCAUCGCUGCCUCCCGGCAGCGCCGCCUCCUGUCAGCACACCAGCCCCGCCUCCCCACACAUUGCUUGUGAAGAGUCAGCGUUGCUGCUGAAGACGACGGGGCAGUUCUACUUCUCCGUGAUGACCAGGACGACGUUGCUAUCUAUGCUCGGCCAUAGGAAGUAUGGUGCUUGCAAAUUUGGCCAUGAACCGUUGAACUAUUGCGAAUUUGGCUGUGAAUCAUUUUGUAUAGAAAAUUAUAUGAAGUAUGAUGGGUCAGCUGUCAUUCCUCAGUUUGAAUAG
rnacentral:rRNA from 1 species